rnacentral:rRNA from 1 species
AUUGAACGCUGGCGGCAGGCCUAACACAUGCAAGUCGAGCGGAAACGAGUUAUCUGAACCUUCGGGGAACGAUAACGGCGUCGAGCGGCGGACGGGUGAGUAAUGCCUAGGAAAUUGCCCUGAUGUGGGGGAUAACCAUUGGAAACGAUGGCUAAUACCGCAUAAUACCUACGGGUCAAAGAGGGGGACCUUCGGGCCUCUCGCGUCAGGAUAUGCCUAGGUGGGAUUAGCUAGUUGGUGAGGUAAUGGCUCACCAAGGCGACGAUCCCUAGCUGGUCUGAGAGGAUGAUCAGCCACACUGGAACUGAGACACGGUCCAGACUCCUACGGGAGGCAGCAGUGGGGAAUAUUGCACAAUGGGCGCAAGCCUGAUGCAGCCAUGCCGCGUGUGUGAAGAAGGCCUUUCGGGUUUGUAAAAGCACUUUCAGUCGUGAGGAAGGUAGUGUAGUUAAUAGCUGCAUUAUUUGACGUUUAGCGACAGAAGAAGCACC